UAAAGCUACUAAGAGCUAAUGGAGAAUGCCUUGGUACUAGCAGCCGAAGAAGGACGCGCAUGUCUGCGAAAAGCUACGGGGAGUUGACAAGAAGCCUUGAUCCGUAGAUAUCCGAAUGGGGAAACCCUAUGAAGUUAAAACUUCAUAACCCACGAAUGAAUAGAUAGUUCGUGAGGAGGAAAGCCUGUGAACUGAAACAUCUUAGUAACAGGACGAAAAGAAAAUAAACUAAUGAUUCCGAAAGUAGCGGCGAGCGAACUCGGAAGAGCCUAAACCUUAUGUACGAGAUAGACUGCAAUUGUUGUGCAUUAGGGGUAGAGGGACUUUCGUUACACUUUGCAGAGUGUAAAAAGAGUUAAAAAUUGUUUGAUAGAUGAAUCCAACUGGAAAGUUGAGCCAUAGACGGUGAUAGCCCGGUAAUUUAAAUUAAACAGUCUCUUGAGAGUAUCCCGAGUAAGGCGGGGCACGUGAAACCCUGUCUGAAUCAGCCGGGACCAUCCGGUAAGGCUAAAUACUAGCUAGUGACCGAUAGUGAACGAGUACAGUGAUGGAAAGGCGAAAAGAACAGUGAGAAGCUGAGUGAAAUAGAACCUGAAACCGUUAGCUUACAACGAGCUAGAGCACUAUUAAUAGUGUGAUAGCGUGCCUGUUGAAGAAUGAGCCGGCGAGUUAUCGUAUGUUGCGAGGUUAAGGAGAUGAUAUCCGGAGCCGAAGGGAAACCGAGUCUGAAUAGGGCGAGAUUAGUAACAUGGGAUAGACCCGAACCUUGGCGAUCUAACCAUGGUCAGAAUGAAGCGUGGGUGACACUACGUGGAGGUUCGAACCGACUGAUGUUGAAAAAUCAGCGGAUGAACUGUGGUUAGGGGUGAAAUGCCAAUCGAGCCAAGAGCUAGCUGGUUCUCUCCGAAAUGUAUUUAGGUACAGCGUCAGAAUUAUCUUAUGGGAGGUAGAGCACUGGUUUGAUGCGGGCGCAGAAACUGUGUACCAAAUCAUGUCAAACUCCGAAUGCCCAUAAAGUUACUAUCUGGCAGUGAGGCUAUGAGUGAUAAGAUCCAUGGCCAAAAGGGAAACAGCCCAGACCGUCAGUUAAGGUCCCUAAUUAUAUGCUAAGUGAUUAAGGAGGUAAAAUUGCUCUGACAACCAGGAGGUUGGCUUAGAAGCAGCCAUCCCUUGAAAGAGUGCGUAAUAGCUCACUGGUCAAGCGACUUUGCGCCGAAAAUACGACGGGGCUAAGCAUAUAACCGAAACUGCGGCAGGAUAAUUUAUUAUUCUGGGUAGGAGAGCGUUCUGUAGUAGGUUGAAGCUAGACUGAAAAGACUAGUGGACGAGACAGAAGUGAGAAUGUCGGCAUAAGUAGCGAAAACAUUGGUGAGAAUCCAAUGCACCGAAAACCUAAGGUUUCCCACGGCAGGCUCGUCCGCGUGGGGUUAGUCGGAACCUAAGACGAGGCCGAAAGGCGUAGUCGAUGGAAGACAGGUUGAUAUUCCUGUACUAUCUGGUAGUCGUUAUCAGAUGCGGAGGGACGGAGGAGGAUAAACACGCAGUCGAUUGGAUGUGACUGUUUAAGCGUGUAGCUAGUUCAAGUAGGAAAAUCCGCUUGGGCGAUAAGACGUGAGGCGUGAUGAGGAGGGUCUACGGACCUGAAGGUGUUAAUUCCACACUUCCAAGAAAAUCUUCGCAUUGAGAAUAUCAGGUAUCCGUACCAUAAACCGCCACAGGUAGGUUGGUAGAAAAUACUAAGGUGCGCGAGAUAACUCUCGCUAAGGAACUCGGCAAAAUCACCUCGUAACUUCGGGAGAAGAGGUACUCUGGUAGCGUGAAUUACCCAAGCGGUAAGGAGCGUGAUAGAGUCGCAGUGAAUAGGCCCAUGCGACUGUUUACCAAAAACACAGGUCUCUGCUAAGUCGAAAGACGAUGUAUAGGGGCUGACGCCUGCCCGGUGCUGGAAGGUUACGUGGAAGAGUUAGAAGCAAUUCGAAGCUCCGAAACUAAGCCCCAGUGAACGGCGGCCGUAACUAUAACGGUCCUAAGGUAGCGAAAUUCCUUGUCAGGUAAGUUCUGACCCGCACGAAUGGCGUAACGAUAUGGGCGCUGUCUCGGCGAGAGGCUCGGCGAAAUUGGAUUAUCCGUGAAGAUACGGAUUACGCAUACCAGGACAGAAAGACCCUAUUGAGCUUUACUGUAGCUUGAAAUUGAAUUCGGGUUGUUAUUGUGCAGUAUAGGUGGGAGACAUUGAGUCAAAGGCGUCAGCUUUUGAGGAGUCGUCGUUGAGAUACCACUCUGUGAUAAUUUGAAUUCUAACACUAAACCCUCUAAGACCAGGGUAGUGGACAGUUUCUGGUAGGCAGUUUGACUGGGGCGGUCGCCUCCUAAAGAGUAACGGA
rnacentral:rRNA from 1 species